CUCCCAUCCCCUUAGCUUUUCUGUAAUUUGAUGUUUCUACUUCCCCAUUCAGAUGUGGGGCCCAGUUCCUCCUCCCCUGACUCUGGGCUGGCCAGGAUGACUCGCUUGUAACCAACGGAAUACGGUGGAAGGGACACUGCCCGAGUCAGGCCAGGCCGGAGGCUAUGCAGAUCCGCCUGGCUCUCAUGGGACACCAGCUCUCUGGACACUCUAUCCCGGGAACCCCCCUCUCCAGAUGCUGCCGCCGUGCCGUGGGAAGCCCGAGCCGUGUGAGAGGCCACGUGGAGGUUCUGGUGACAGGCACAGCGGAGCCGGCCCGCUGAGUCCCUCAGCCCAGGACCCGACAUACAGCUGAGUCACCAGUGACCACGGGGCCAUCUGAGUCCACAGCAAGAGGCACAGGAGGAUCUUUGGAGUUUGGGGAAGGACAUUGGCAUUUUGCCCGAGAACACCUGCACAGGAUGCAUUCCCAGGCCCACACUCAGAGAAAACUGUGGGUGCCUUCCUAGCCUUGAGGCAGCUCACCCCAAAGGCCGUCUGAGAAGGAUGUUAGCCCACUGGCCCCCUUUCUGCGUGUUUAAGGAGAGUCAGCUGGGGCCUGCGUUUCUCCCGGCUGGCUGAGUGCUGUGAGUCGGUGCACCCUUACUGAACGCGCUGUGUCCUGACCACCCGCCUGGCUGCCCCAAUGGCCUCAGAGGUCAUGCAGGUGCCGAGGGUAGGGCACGCAGGGCGAGCUCUUGUGCAACCGGGUGCAAAGCCAUGGGUAGGAUGGAGAAAGGACGCUGGCAGUGUGCGCGGAGCAAAGGGGAUCAGAUGAUCUGACAGGGAAACCCGUUUAUGCAGGAAAUUCUCUCACCAAGCACUGAGGACAGAAACUCAAGGAGCCUCCUUCAUGCUAAUAUGCAGGCUUUGUGGAUUUCAGAAAUAAUUUAUGCUACAUUAUCUCGGCCACGGAUUCUAGAAAACAACUGAUGACAUUAGAAAAGUGGAAGCCUGUCUAAUGUGAUGAGGUGUUAAUGCAAAGACCGAAACCUUUCAUUCCAAGUUAAAAGCACAGAAGUGUGCCCUCAUUCGCCCAUAGUCCGAGGCAGGGAGCAGUCCUUUUCUUUGAGCGUGUGCCCUCUCGUAGGUGUUUCACUUCUCUUUGUCGCAUAACCACGUCCAAAAGUCACCUGUGAGAUUUCACGCGUCUGUGUAUUCAAAGGGCAGCGAGAAGGCGGAGGCAUCUCUGAAACGACCUGAGCACAGGAAACUUUUCUGCAUCUUGAGAUUCAUCGCUUAAAUAUUUCAGCUGCCUGGUCCACAUUUACUCGGAAGGCAAUGUGGGGGGACCCGCUUUUAUCAAAUCUUCCCCAAGCAUUCCAAGUAUUUUCCACAGGAACCGUCUUCCACUCAUGUCUCUCUGGCUGAGAGUAUGUUUCGUUGAAUCACACACUGACGGUCACAGACACGCACGAAGAGGAUUGGGAACUGACACUCGCUGCUUUGGGAGGCGCGUGUGGGUGGGUCAGCCCCUUUCAUGGAGGGAGGGCAGCGUCCUCCGAACCUUCCAGUCAGAACAGCCGCCGACUGAGUUUCCCAGCAACUCCUCCCUCCUGCCCUUCCAGGAGAAGAAUGGAGAUGCCCAACCAUAGAAAAUCCAAAUCCGUUUCCCCGUCUGCAAGAGGUGGCUGAGGACACGGUGCUCACCUCUCAGGAUUGUCCUGAUCACGAGGCAGCCGACACAUAUCAAGUCUCCAGGGUCCAGCCCGGCACACCACAGAACGUGCUCCUUAUAAGCUAGCGGGGGUCACAGUCAAACGCAUACUCUGAAACUAAAUACCUGCCUUCCAGAUUUUCCAAUUGCUCAGUUUGUUCCACUGAACUUUCUCCUUGCGUGCACUUGUGUGUGCAUGUGUGUGUGCACACUUGGCUGUCCACUGCACCUCCCAUCUCUCUACAUGCCCUCGAAUUGCAGUCAUGGGUCUUGCUACACACACAGACUGCAGGAUAAGCUAAGCAGAAAUCCCAAACCAGCAGCCCUGAGGACAAGUCUGGCCCACAGAUGUGUUCUGUUUGCUCAGAUGGUAUUACGUUUCCUUCUUUUUUUAAUUUAGUCGACAAUAUUUAGAAUUUAGGAAAAUUUACAUUUAAAAAAAAAUCUAGAUUUCCAACUUCAGUUGAAAAAUUGGAAGAUCUGGCAUACUUUCACCAAUGGCAAUGGUCAACUGGAGCUGAGUGGCAGCUUCCCCUCUUAGAUGGAGCACGCAAUCUCCAAUUUGCCCCAGUCCCCACUACUCCCUCUUGUAACACACCGGCUCCACUUGAAUCGUGUACCUGCCUGGUUUCCAGCUUUUUCUAGGUUUGAGCCACUUUGCUUUCCAUAAAGACGGCUUCCCAGCAGCUCUCACAAAGCCCAGAGGCCAAACUUAUCACUUGGGACCCCUCGAUUGAAAAAUACCACCAGAGUUGGUAGCUCACCACGUCCCCAAGCCACACCUGACAGCUUUCCCCCAAAACCAUUCAGCAGUUAUCAGUUUGGGCAAAAAUUGUUCUUAUUAUCAAGCCGAAUAGGAGGAUUCAAGGAGAGUGCUGAUAAAUCCAUCAGCAAGCACUCUGCCUGGAGAAGAGGUGGCCCCGGAGGGGAAGGUUGCCUCUGUCCUGUCCUUUCAGCCCCGAAGCCGGUGAGCUGGGGAGCCCUGCCAGUGGUCUGGUUGCCAUUGUAGCCUACCCGCGGCUCUCCAGCCCUCUUCUGUGGCAGUAGAGAAAGCAGCAGGCCCAGGAAACACUUUUCUGUCUCCUAAUGCAGACCCAGGCUGGCCCAGGACGAGCUUUCCUCGGAAUCAGAGGCCAGUGUCCCCGCAGACCUCGGGAGGCCAGGGCUUGGGAGGUGCUGUGCUCCUCGAUUCCAUCACCUGCUUCUGUGCAGCCCCCCGAUCAGGCUCCAACUCUCAUCCGCAGCCGAGGAGGGACGCAUCCGCGGCCGGCGGUAACGAGGGAGGGAUGCAGAGGAAGCAGGGUGCCCACACUCAGCAGGGUGCCGUCAAGUGGCCUCUGGGCUGGGGCCUCUCCGCGUGGUCCCCCUUCUUCCCGAGCAUCUCUCAGGUCCUGGAACACAGUCCCGCAGCCCCCUCGCUGGCGGUCUGUGUCUUUCCUCUGCCGGCGUUCCUGGUGGUACAGCGUCCGGGCCCUCAAGAGCGAGGUUAAAGAACAAGUAACACAUCUUGGAGCCCAAGGGCAGGUACUCGGGAAACCACUUGGGCAAGAUGGCCUCAAAGGGGAGGUGGCCAGGAGGCCCCACGUCACAGAGUCCUCGCGUGGGAUCAGUGAAACCCCACGUUUAAAGAUGUUGGCAGAGUCCCGCCCAUGCGAUGUGCUCAGCCAUCACCAUCGCCAGGUGCCUCUGUGCAGUGCACAACCUGCUCAAGGGGAUGGAGCUGGAGACCCACCAGGAGGUUCGGCGUUGGUCUGUGGUCAGCGGGGAUUUGGACUGAGUCAAGGAGCCCCGCAAAGGUCCCUGAAGCUGACCAGCGCCCGGCGGAGCAGCAGCGCCAGGGGAGCCAAACCGCUGACCCGGGCUUUUCCCUUUCCACCCAAAUCUUGCUCCCCUGCGCCCUCUGCAGGCCGACGGGGAAGCCACACGUUGAGGUCGAUUUAGACGCGUUUCUGGGUCGAGGAUCCCACUGGUUCUCAACCGUCUGGGCGGAACGGCAGCAUCUCCUGGGGAGUGAGUCCUGAA
rnacentral:lncRNA from 1 species